CCGUCACAGAAGCUAAUAAAACAAAACUUGAGUUGGCCCUCGGCCCUGCCUUGUUACUUUCUUGAUGGCCCAAUAAAGCCCACAUUCAAAUUCUCUCUCCUCUUUAUCUUCUCCAUUUUGCCAGAAAAUCCUGCAAAAACACUGCAACUCUCUGUCUCAAUCACAACACUCCUACUUCUUCCAUAGGAGGUUUUUGCAACUGGGGAUGGGGCCUUUGACCUUAGCCAUUGGUAACAAGAACUCUUCAAUGGAACAAUCAGGCCAAAAGAGAACUGAAUGAUCCUGAGAAUGCUGUUAUUGGUGCUUUUGCUGGUGCUUUAACUGGUGCUAUUACUACCCCUCUUGAUGUUAUUAAGACUAGGCUAAUGACCCAGGGAUCUGCAAAUCAGUACAAUGGCAUAGUCGAUUGUCUCAAGACUAUUGUUAGGGAAGAGGGAGCCCCUGCCCUUCUAAAGGUAAUAGUGUUAGAAAUAGCCCAUGACAUAAUGCUAUUUACUUGUUGCAGUUAUAAAUUUUCAAAGUUUGACAAUUCUUAUCAGCCUGUUAACCUAACUAUACGA